ACGGAAGGCAGCAGUGGGGAAUAUUGCACAAUGGGCGAAAGCCUGAUGCAGCGACGCCGCGUGAGUGAAGGAGUAUUUCGGUAUGUAAAGCUCUAUCAGCAGGGAAGAAAAAUGACGGUACCUGACUAAGAAGCACCGGCUAACUACGUGCCAGCAGCCGCGGUAAUACGUAGGGGGCAAGCGUUAUCCGGAUUUACUGGGUGUAAAGGGAGCGUAGACGGAAUGUCAAGUUUGAGGUGAAAUACCUGGGCUUAACCCAGGAAUUGCUUUGAAAACUGAUAAUCUAGAGUACUGGAGGGGUAUGGGGAAUUCCUAGUGUAGUAGUGAAAUGCGUAGAUAUUAGGAAGAACACCGGAGGCGAAGGCGCCAUACUGGACAGAUACUGACGUUGAGGCUCGAAAGCGUGGGGAGCAAACAGGAUUAGAUACCCUGGUA
rnacentral:rRNA from 1 species